rnacentral:rRNA from 1 species
UAAGGCGGAUGGCGACCGGCGCACGGGUGAGUAACACGUAUCCAACCUGCCCUUUACUCGGGGAUAGCCUUUCGAAAGAAAGAUUAAUACCCGAUAGCAUAAUGAUUCCGCAUGGUUUCAUUAUUAAAGGAUUCCGGUAAAGGAUGGGGAUGCGUUCCAUUAGGUUGUUGGUGAGGUAACGGCUCACCAAGCCUUCGAUGGAUAGGGGUUCUGAGAGGAAGGUCCCCCACAUUGGAACUGAGACACGGUCCAA